rnacentral:rRNA from 1 species
GACGAACGCUGGCGGCGUGCUUAACACAUGCAAGUCGAACGGAAAGGCUCCAGCUUGCUGGAGUACUCGAGUGGCGAACGGGUGAGUAACACGUGGGUAAUCUGCCCUGCACUCUGGGAUAAGCCUGGGAAACUGGGUCUAAUACUGGAUAUGACCUUUCUCCUUAUGGGGUUUGGUGGAAAGUUUUUCGGUGUAGGAUGAGCCCGCGGCCUAUCAGCUUGUUGGUGGGGUGAUGGCCUACCAAGGCGACGACGGGUAGCCGGCCUGAGAGGGUGAUCGGCCACAUUGGGACUGAGAUACGGCCCAGACUCCUACGGGAGGCAGCAGUGGGGAAUAUUGCACAAUGGGGGGAAGCCUGAUGCAGCGACGCCGCGUGAGGGAUGACGGCCUUCGGGUUGUAAACCUCUUUCAGCAGGGACGAAGCGUAAGUGACGGUACCUGCAGAAGAAGCACCGGCUAACUAUGUG